rnacentral:lncRNA from 1 species
GUCUCAACAAUAACCAGAGAAUGUCCUGAGAACACAGCAUCCUGAGAUAAGGAGAGACAGGCUGGACAAUCUGAGCUCUGUUCUAGUCGACCUCCCCAGAAACAGGAUGCCCUCUGCUAUGGUUUCAACAUGUCUCCCAAAGUUCCUGUGCUGGAAACUUGGCCUUCAAGGCAACAGUGUUGAGAGGUGCAUCCUUUAAGAGAUGGUAUUAAUGGAUUAAUCCUGUUAUCAUGGGCAGGUGAGUUAUGGUAGGAGUGGCUCUUGGAAAGAGGAUGAGUGUAUCUGACUUCUCUUCUCUCUCCCCAUAUGAAGAAUAGGAAGAAGACCCUUAUCAUGUGCCAUCUUCUAGCUUCUAGAAAUCCCAGUCUUCAAAACUGUGAGAAAUAAAUUUCUUUAUACAGUGUCAAGACUGGAUUCUGUUAUAGCAACAAGACAUGGACUUGGACACUGCAGUGAUUCAGCCCAGUGUUUCUGGUGUUUGGCUUGUUCAACACAACCCAGGGCUGCUUUCAGGAUCCCUCAGCUGCUGUGCUACUGAGGCACACACAGUUGAGACUACUUGUCCAGGGCAGUUUUCCUGAGCAUUGGGGAACAGGCUGGCAUGAAUCCAGAGUAUCUGUUGUCUCUUAACUGUAAAUAUUAAAUAUGCUUCAUGUAAAACAUGCA